UACGUAGGGUGCGAGCGUUAAUCGGAAUUACUGGGCGUAAAGCGUGCGCAGGCGGUUUUGUAAGCCAGGUGUGAAAUCCCCGGGCUUAACCUGGGAACUGCAUUUGUGACUGCAUGGCUGGAGUGCGGCAGAGGGGGAUGGAAUUCCGCGUGUAGCAGUGAAAUGCGUAGAUAUGCGGAGGAACACCGAUGGCGAAGGCAAUCCCCUGGGCCUGCACUGACGCUCAUGCACGAAAGCG
rnacentral:rRNA from 1 species